rnacentral:rRNA from 1 species
AGAGUUUGAUCAUGGCUCAGGACGAACGCUGGCGGCGUGCCUAACACAUGCAAGUCGAACGGAGCCGGCCCCGCAAGGGACAGGCUUAGUGGCGAACGGGUGAGUAACGCGUGAGGAACCUGGCUUUCAGUGGGGGACAACAGCUGGAAACGGCUGCUAAUACCGCAUAACACUUCAGUGCCGCAUGGGAUUGAAGUCAAAGCUUGAUGUGCUGAAAGAUGGUCUCGCGUCUGAUUAGCUAGUAGGCGGGGUAAGGGCCCACCUAGGCGACGAUCAGUAGCCGGUCUGAGAGGAUGAACGGCCACAUUGGGACUGAGAUACGGCCCAGACUCCUACGGGAGGCAGCAGUGGGGAAUAUUGGGCAAUGGGCGAAAGCCUGACCCAGCAACGCCGCGUGAAGGAAGAAGGCUUUCGGGUUGUAAACUUCUUUUACCAGGGACGAAGGACGUGACGGUACCUGGAGAAAAAGCCACGGCUAACUACGUGCCAGCAGCCGCGGUAAUACGUAGGUGGCAAGCGUUGUCCGGAUUUACUGGGUGUAAAGGGCGUGUAGGCGGAUUUGCAAGUCAGAUGUGAAAUACCGCAGCUCAACUGCGGAGCUGCAUUUGAAACUGCAGACCUUGAGUAUCGGAGAGGCAAGCGGAAUUCCUAGUGUAGCGGUGAAAUGCGUAGAUAUUAGGAGGAACACCAGUGGCGAAGGCGGCUUGCUGGACGACAACUGACGCUGAGGCGCGAAAGCGUGGGGAGCAAACAGGAUUAGAUACCCUGGUAGUCCACGCUGUAAACGAUGAAUACUAGGU